rnacentral:rRNA from 1 species
CGCCUCUUGAGUUCAAUAAGAGGUCCAGCCUGCCCAGUGAAAUUAUUCAACGGCCGCGGUAUCCUAACCGUGCGAAGGUAGCGUAAUCACUUGUUCUUUAAAUGAGGACUAGUAUGAAUGGCAUCACGAGGGUUUUACUGUCUCCUUUUUUAAAUCAGUGAAACUAAUCUCCCCGUGAAGAAGCGGGGAUUUUGUUAUAAGACGAGAAGACCCUAUGGAGCUUAAAACAAACAACAUUUGCUGCACAUAACACUUUUAUCUUCAAGAAGUAUAGCAUUAUGAUUUUUAGUUUUUGAUUGGGGUGAUCACGGAGCAAAAUAAAACCUCCACGCCGAAAGGGUUUUUACCCUGAGCAAAAAGCUACAGCUUUAAACACUAAAAAAUUAACGUAUUUGACCCAAUAUUUUGAUCAACGAACCAAGUUACCCUAGGGAUAACAGCGCAAUCCACUUCAAGAGCUCCUAUCGACAAGUGGGUUUACGACCUCGAUGUUGGAUCAGGGUGUCCUAGUGGUGCAGCCGCUACUAAUGGUUCGUUUGUUCAACGAUUAAAACCCU